rnacentral:sRNA from 23 species
AUAUCUCUCUGUACGGGAAGGAUGAGAAGCUUCGACUAAGGUUCGAUUCGAGCGCAGCGAGAAAGCGUUGCCGUAGGCAACGACCCGAAGGGCGAAGCGCGCAGCGCUGAGUAAUCCUUCCCCCACCACCA